GAUGAAGAACGUAGCGAAAUGCGAUACUUGGUGUGAAUUGCAUAAUCCCGUGAACCAUCGAGUCUUUGAACGCAAGUUGCGCCCGAAGCCAUUAGGCCGAGGGCACGCCUGCCUGGGCGUCACACGUCGUUGCCCCCCCAUCUACUCCUUCGGGAUUGCGGGGGGCGGAUGAUGGCCUCUCGUGCGCCUCGUCGCGCGGUUGGCCUAAAUGCCAAGUCCUCGGCGACGCACGCCACGACAAUCGGUGGUUGCGAAACCUCGGUUGCCUGUCGUGUGCGGUCGUCGCGCAUCGAGGGCUCGAAAAAAUUGCCGGGCUUCGGCUCGACUUUCAACGCGACCCCAGGUCAGGCGGGGUUACCCGCUGAAUUUAAGCAUAUCAAUAAGCGGAGGA
rnacentral:misc_RNA from 1 species